AUUGAACGCUGGCGGCAGGACUAACACAUGCAAGUCGAACGAGUGGCGGACGGGUGAGUAAUGUUUGGGAAACUGGCUUAUGGAGGGGGAUAACUACUGGAAACGGUAGCUAAUACCGCAUACCAUCGGAUGUGCCCCGGUGGGAUUAGCUAGUUGGUGGGGUAAAGGCUCACCAAGGCGACGAUCCCUAGCUGGUCUGAGAGGAUGACCAUCCACACUGGAACUGAGACACGGGCCAGACUCCUACGGGAGGCAGCAGUGGGGAAUAUUGCACAAUGGGCGCAAGCCUGAUGCAGCCAUGCCGCGUGUAUGAAGAAGGCCGUCGGGUUGUAAAGUACUUUCGGUGGCGAGGCGUUACCCGCAGAAGAAGCACCGGCUAACUCCGUGCCAGCAGCCGCGGUAAUAC
rnacentral:rRNA from 1 species